rnacentral:lncRNA from 1 species
AUUAUUAUUAGGUCUUUCCACCUUUCCGUGGAAAGACCUAUAGGUUUUGUUCUGAUUAUUAUUAUUAUUAUUAGGUCUUUCAACUUUUCAGUUGAAAGACCUAUAGGGUUUGUUCUGAUUAUUAUUAUUUUUUUUUUUCUUCCGCCAACUUUUUUUACCUUCGCUGUUUUUUUGUUUCACAAGAUGUCGCUUAGAUAUAUGGCAUAUGAUAUCGAACAGUUAAUACGCUUCUGAAACUGACACCGCGUAACAAAAAACUUUACCUUGUAAGAGUUAUCUCCCCGAACACUGUUUUUCUUGUUAUCUCUAAGGCUUCGCAACCGUAUAAGAAACCGACAAAUUUAUUUUCCCAAAUUGCUCGUUAUAUCCUCAGGAUGUUCUGUUUUAUUUUGACCAAAGCUAUCCGGAGACUCCAUAUGAGAGUUAUCCCCCCUUUUGUAUAUGAUAUAAGUGAUAUGCAUUUCUAACUGGUAAACCAUAAGUGAUAGAGACCUAGGGUCUUUUGAUUUAAGAUCCUUGGUCCAAAAAAAUGAAAAUUAGGUAGGUCAAGGUCAAGGUCAAAUUCUAAAUUUUGAUUUAGGCUUAUUUUCACUUAUUUUCAUUAAUCUUAUAAGAUAUCGACAAAUUAUUUUUCCUAAAUUGUUAGUUGCGACAUGUCGUAACUUAUAAAUUUUGGUUGCAAGGGUGCGUAGACAAUAAAUUGGAGUUUUCGCCCCUCUUAUAUUUAGAAUUAUGCGUAAAGUGAUAUUACUCAUUAACCAUACAUAAUACUGACCUAGGGUCUUUUGAUUUGGGAUCCUUAGUUUAUGACCUUGAAAUUGAGGUCAAGGUCAUAGGUUAAUUGGACGUUAUAGAUUUUGACCUUUGCUCAAAAUUAAUAUUUUUAUAUCAUAAAGACAUAGGAACUGACAUUUUCAAUUGAAUCUUAAUAUUUUUAUAUCAAAAUAGAUCCUUAUUGGUUGAAAGACCUUCAAUUGUUCUUUGAACAAUUGGUUUUUAAUUAUUUUUUUUUUCUUCCGCCUAAUUUUUUCCUUCGCUGUUUUUUUGUUUCGCAAGAUGUCGCUUUGAUAUUUGGAAUAUGAUAUCGAACAGUUUAUACGCUUUUGAAACCAACUCUGCUUAACCGAAUACGUUCCCAUAUAAGAGUUAUCUCCCCGAACACUGUUUUUCUUGUUAUCUCUAAGGCUUCGCAACCGUAUAAGAAACCGACAAAUUUAUUUUACCGAAUUGCUCGUUAUAUCCUCAGGAUGUUAUGUUUUAUUUUGACCGAAGCCGUUUCGAGAUUCCAUAUGAGAGUUAUUUCCCCUUUUGUAUUUGAAAUUUGAAAUGUAUUUAAACUGGAAAACCAUAAGUGAUAGAGACCUAGGUCUUUUGAUUUGAAUCCUUGGUCCAAAAAAAAUGAAAAUUAGGUCAAGGUCAAAGGUCAAGG